UGGGGUGUUUUGCCAGGCAGAAGCGUGGAAAGCAGCCCGCCUUGCCCCCUCUGCUACUGCCAUGGUGCGGAAUCUGCUGUUGGGCACCUUUGAUUUGGAGACUUUGCUGAAAAGCAACCUGAAUGGUGGGAAGCCAACCAGAGGGGAUGGGGAGCAGCUGGUCGCACUUGACCAAAUUAAAAAGGCAGCCAUUAUUGCCACAUUGCUGGGGUAUUGCGCUGUAAGAUGCUACAUUGAAGAAGUGGCCGGCAGCCAGCCGAGGGCAGAUAGGCACAUCUAU